CUCAGAGAUCGGGGCCCAUCAGCGACCUCCCGGCGGACUGCCUAGGGUCGGGUACGGAAUACCUAUGGCGAUCAGGUUAUGCGGCGUGAGCAAUCAAAUACAAAAAAAGAGGGUUGAAAAUAAUAAUGAAAUUGCACUUACCUUCGAAGGGCAGCUAGGGUCUAUUGAGGUCGAAGAUCGCCAGGGAACGUGUGUAGGUCGUGUGGUGUGGUGUGACGUUGAGUGUAAAUAGGUGUCCUGACGGUCCCCGAAAAGGAGGCCCCAGGCCCCCAGACUUCGACAGUGAGUAGGCACCCCCGGUCACAGAAUUGAUUAUAAAGAAAUACACAAGCAGUUACAGUCACAAGCACAACAACAAAUAUUUACAGUUAAGUUAUAAGCACAGCAAUUAAAAAGGUAGCAGUAAAAUAAGUAAGUAAGCAGUUAGUAAACCGCGAGGCACGCGCAAAACAAUAAUUCCAACAAUGGGAACCGGCCGGCCGUCGAGAAGCGAUACGGCCACACCGUGCAGAGCGAAUUCGAGACUGACGCAGCUAAGCGGCGCGGGCGACGGCGACGGCGGGGGGCCGUGCCACCUGGCGAUAUCACCGAUGAAGCCCAUACAGAAAAAAAGCGUCGCUAACGCAGCGAAAUGACUAGCAGUGACUUUGAGAUUUUUG
rnacentral:misc_RNA from 1 species